CAGCGCCAGACCGACCGACUUCCACAGGAUGGAACGCAUCGGCGGCGACAGGAUCUGGGACAACGCCUUGAGCGCGGCGUCGAGCAUGGGCAACCCUCCGAAAGAACCCCAAGAAAACCAGACCCAGUUAGAUACGGCAAAUGGGUUCGGCAAGUGGCGGGAUCGGCAGGCGGCGUUCUCACGCGGAAAUUUUUUAGUUAAGCUGUCAUUCCGGACAGCCGCAUCGCGGCUGAUCCGGAAUCCAGAAGGGUUCAUCGGAAAUAAUUUAGGGAUUCCGG
rnacentral:misc_RNA from 1 species